CUGAACUACAUUUGAAAUCAAUUAUUCUCUUCUCCCCAGGGAGUUCUCUUCUGUUCUGCCUGUUGCCCUGAUUUGCCAUUUAUUUAUGCCUUUGGAGGUCAGAAAGAAGGGCUUCGGGUCUGGGAUAUAAGCACAGUGUCUUCGGUAAAUGAAGCAUUUGGAAGACGAGAGAGGCUUGCUCUUGGUAAUACAAGAAAUUCAUCAAUUAAUGGCCCUUUUGGAAGCAGGAGCUCAGACACACCAAUGGAGUCUUAAUGAGGAUCAUGCAAUUUCCUGUUUUGUUUACCUUAACUCAAUUUUAAAAGCUGGCCUAAAAUGUACCAUGUGUAGUGACAGAAUCAAAAUUGAUUUCCAACUACCUGACAUUCCUCUAGUGGUAGCUAAACAAGGCUGCUCAGAGUGCUUGCCGUUCCAGUCUGCAGUGUAUAAAGCUCCCGUUGCAGAUCUCCUUGGAAAGGGUAAUAAAGGUUUUAAAAAAAUGAUUCCUUAAAUAUGCCAUCUGUCACAGGUAAUCUAAGUUUGUAACGUAGCUAGUAAUUUACAGGAUUUUGCUCUUUUUAAAAAUUAUAUGAUCUUAAUAGAUGGGUAAACCCAGGUCAGGAAGAGUUGUGGUUUGGCCGACAUUGCACAGUAGGCCACAAACAGAGGAGUGCAGUUUCCAAACUGACUGUUCUGCAGUUAAUGCUCAUGACUUAGAAGUGUAGAAGUGUUCUCAAAGAAGAGAGACAUCAUAUGAUAAAGGUUCAAUCCAGCAAGAGGAUAUAACAUUCAUAAAUUUUAUGCACCCCAACAUAGGACUGGAUAAAUACAGUAAUAGUAGGGGCCUUUAAUAUUCUACUUUCACCAAUGGCUAGAUACUUCAGACAGAAAAAUCAAUAAACAGUGUCCUUAAACAACUUGUUAGACCAAGAAGACGUGACAUUACAGAACAUUCCAUCCAAGAAACAAUAUAGAUUCUUCUCAAACAAGGAAAAAUUCUACAGGACAGAUCGUUACAUCACAAAAUGUGUCUCAAUAAAUUUUUACUUUAGUUUUUCCCUUCCAGUAA